CACUGGCCACACCUCCUUAUAAAUGCCCAAUUUCAUCUGAUCAUUGAAGCUAAGCAGGGCUGGGCCAGGUUAGUACUUGGAACGGAGACCGUUGGGAAUACCAGGUGUCUGAGUGG
rnacentral:rRNA from 1 species